rnacentral:rRNA from 1 species
UCCAGACUCCUACGGGAGGCAGCAGUGGGGGAUAUUGCACAAUGGGGGAAACCCUGAUGCAGCGACGCCGCGUGAGUGAAGAAGUAUUUCGGUAUGUAAAGCUCUAUCAGCAGGGAAGAAAAAAGACGGUACCUGACUAAGAAGCCCCGGCUAACUACGUGCCAGCAGCCGCGGUAAUACGUAGGGGGCAAGCGUUAUCCGGAUUUACUGGGUGUAAAGGGAGCGUAGACGGCAAUACAAGUCGGAAGUGAAAUACCCGGGCUUAACCUGGGAACUGCUUUGGAAACUGUAUGGCUGGAGUGCUGGAGAGGUAAGCGGAAUUCCUAGUGUAGCGGUGAAAUGCGUAGAUAUUAGGAGGAACACCAGUGGCGAAGGCGGCUUACUGGACAGUAACUGACGUUGAGGCUCGAAAGCGUGGGGAGCAAACAGGAUUAGAUACCCGAGUACC